rnacentral:lncRNA from 1 species
CUCAGACUAAAGAAUUUAAACUUAAGUCUCGGGGCCCUUGGAAAAAACCAACUGGCCUUCUCUUAACUCCAGCAUCUCUCCCAGAACAAUCAGGAGAUGAACAAAGCUCACCGAGUGCUGGUGUCGGCAGAAUUCCAGUUGUCACAUCUUCCCUUCCCCGAGCCGUUCGCACCGCUCUUAUCCUCUCUAUCUUGAAGAUGCUGACAAGCUCCUUACCCAUUCAGGCAGCUCCCUCGCCAUUACGUACUUGCUGACCUAGAAUAUUGGUCUUUGGUGUGCGUCUGUGUCAAAUGCGUGCUGGAAGCCAAGUAAAUUACAGCCAGGCUUUCUCCUGUUGAUUCUGUGUGCCGUUGCCUUGAAGAAUCCUAUCAGAUCAGCCAAGGGUGGUUUUUCUCUGGUGAGUCCACGCUGACUACCUGUAAUUAAGCCAAGGCAAGCACAGCCCCUGCGUGGCACGUGGGGUCCUCUUCCAAGCUGCCUCCCUCUAAGCUGAAGUGAAACCCAGAAAGCUCCUGAGCAUCAUAGAGAGGCAGUGGUUCUUCUCCCAUGGAUAUUCCCAUCAUGCCCAAGAAGAGCGUCCUCAGAUGCCGAUUUCCAUCCAGGAGGCAGAAAGCACCUGGACUUCGGAGGCUGGUCAUAGUCCAGUUCCAGCCUUGCCUUUUUAGUAGCUUUGUCAUCCUAAACAAGUCACCGAAUAUCCCUGAGCUCCUUUCCUCCUCUGUCAGAUGGCAGUGACCUUGUUUGCAGGACCGUUCAUGGAAUUCUAUGGAUUGAUGAAGAGCAUCUGUCAGCAGCGUUCGUUGCACACAGCAGCGCACAGUAGGGCCUGGGGCCAAGAUGUGCAGAGAAGCUGGAGGUUCACGUACGUCACUCAGCGUGUCUCCUCAUUUCUCUUCUGCACCCGGGUGCUGCAGUCUCUCACCUGGGGUCCAGGGCUCCUGUGGAGAACGGACACACACAAAAGCCCUGUGCUGCCAGAAGACAGAGCGUCCCAUCAAGAAAAUGCAAGGGGAAUGAAGAAAGGACAGGGAAACCCUCAGGAUGGUGUGUGUGUUCAGACCCCACAGCAUCGAACUGCAGUGAGUCACAAAAACCCGGCACAAUGAAAUGAGACGGAAGCCCUAAACUUGUAAUAAAGAUCCUGCCUCAUGCGUCUCCCA